rnacentral:lncRNA from 1 species
GUUUAAAAGUUUUAAAAUAGUUGAAAAUACAGACAUCUUUAGGUACUGCUGUUACAUAUAACUGUGGAAGCAAAGUCUUGCUAAAUGGAACGGUUACUGAUGUUAAAGAACCAGGGGGUCUUACAGAUAGACUUUCAUAGGAAUUGCUCUUUAAAGCAAAAGUGACUGAGGCCCUCAGCAGACCAGCAUUUAAAGGGGUGUCAGGUGAGGAUGGUCUUAUUUAAAUAGUAGGAAAGUGCAGCAUUUACUAAAAUGGGAUUAUCGCUGGGAAACCUCAUCGUCACUGACAGGCCUCUUCAGGACCAGCUGGAUGGGAAGUAGUGGUCUUUCUACGGAAGAGCAGAUUGAGAACUGAAUGUACAGGAAGAUGCUGCUAUUGCAGUGAGUUCCUAACACCAAUUAGAGGCCAGCAGAUACUGUUGGUGAGGAAAAGGCCCCAACCCAGCUCACGCACUCCUUUCCCCCUUUUCCUUGUUCUUGUUUGCGGAGCCACAGUUGAGGCCCAGUGUUGUAAAUGUCAGGGUCACGCUUAGGAUACAGGGCGCCAGUCUGCUGGGGCCUAGGAGUCUUUGGCUUUUGUUUUUGUUUGUUUGUUUAUCUGUUUUAGCAUGUGGAAGUUCCCAGGCACCACAGCAGCGAUCUGAGCUGCUGCGCUGACAAUGCUGGCCCCUCAACCCACCUUGCUACAAGAGAACUCAGGGGCCUUAAAUCAAAAAGGUAUUCUGUAGGUUUUUCUUCAGCAAGUCUCUCUGAGGUGCUUGGAAUUGUGUAGAAAGAUGGUCUCCAGUUAGGUUUCGUUCUGGCCAGCUCUGGGAUGUGAUGAUCUUUGCUGAAUAUGAGAAAGUCCAGUCUCCCUGCUCUCCUGCUUCUGCCUUCAGUGGGAGCAGCUGGCACGGUGUCCCACUGGCACAUAUUAGGGGCUGUUUUAUUUCCACUGACUGGAGUGUAGGGUGGGGAAUGAAAUUGAAAAGAGGCCCCUAGGGGCAGAGCUGCUGCAAAAAGAAGUAGGGAAGAGUGUUUUAGAGGGCCCUUGGACAGAAUGGUGCUGACCUGAAAAAAUGGACGCUUUCUUUGCUUAGCUCCUAAGAAAUUACAGGGAAGGUGAAAAUUUAUACCGUAACUGCCAUUCUGCACUCAGUAUGGAGUCACCUUUCCAGAUGAAGCUUCCUUCACAAUUAAUGUUGGUAUUUCCAUUUUUCUUAUUUUCUAGAUUUUGGAAGAUUAUGCCAAACUUCCAUAAGAGAUGAGAAAAAUAUCUCUGAUGAAAACAAUAUACAGAUGAGUGUAAUUAAAAUGCCUUUUUUGGUGUAAGAUUGUUAAUGAUUGCUAUGCAGGAAAAAAAAAAAAAAACCCUGUUAUUUUUUUGUGAAAGAGGCUUAUUUUCAGUUGUGGCUUAUUGUGCACUUGCACCUAAAUGCACUUGCUGGAUGUAAUUCAGGCUGCUCUGAGCCAAGGACUUGGAGGAAGAGGUCCGUGUCUAUCAGCAAGACCCAUGCUGUGUAUAUGAUAUAGUGGCUUUUUCACCCUUUUGUUUACAGUGUUAUCUGAGAGACAUAGAUUCCACAGAUGGUCUUUAACUUGAGAUAUCAUGAGCUUACCAGGGUAGUUUUCAUAAAUAUUUGGAUGAAAGUUAAUAGAGGGAUGAAAACCUAAUGCAGGACUUUGUUGCUGUGAACGGUUGGUUCAUCACAUUUUGCAGCACGAAUGUUAACAUGUUAUGCAGAGUGAAAGGUCUGUACUGAAGAAAUCAACUCUUAAAGGAAUUUCUUGGUUUUUGUUGUUAACGCGGUGAUGAAGAUGUGUAUCACCAAGUCCUUAACGUGACUGCUGGUUCUGUAACCACCAUCAUCCAUGAAAACAGCAUUAUUCCAAUAGCGUUCAGAUGUUGACAAUUUACAUUUUGUGCUUUAAGAAACUGUGGAAUUUAAGUGUUAUUCUUGAAGGAUUUGGACUCCAAGUACUUUGUUUACAGCUUUGUUGCAAGAGGUAGGUAGGAGUCUGUUCACAUCUCCCCAUUUAACAUAGAAAAUGACUAACGCAAGUAAUUCAGGAAGUUUAGUCUAACACAAGUGAUAUUUCAUAGCAAAUGCUAUGAGAUUCCAUAUAAGUAAGUAGUGUUGUUCUGAUGACUGCAGCAUGUCAUACAAUCUGAUACUGCAGAUUUUGCCAAAAGUAAUCUGCUCAUUUACUGCAUAGGUAUACAAAGCCGGUUAUAGUUCAUCGGAAUAGUCUAUUUGAAACUGUUCUUUAAAUUUGUCAUCUCUAUAGGAUUUCAGUUGGAAAGUGCUUCUGUUAAAGUAACUAAUGAUCUUCAUUAGAAGUGUGUAUAUUCAUCUGUUUUAGUUUUGUGGAUUGAGCUAUGGAUCUGACACCGAGAUCAUUACCCAUCUUUUCACGGCACAUCUGCCUAGAGGUGUUUUGUUUUCUGACACCCUUUGGUGUAUUAACAAUCUGGGGAGAAUGGGGAUACGAUAUAAAUAUGUUUAAAUAAACCUAAGAAUAUGCUGCAAUCUCUAGUUCCUUUGGAUACCUUACAAGUAUGUUUGUUGUAGGAACCUCCGCUGUUUAAUGUUUUUAUUUUACAGUUUUCGGUGGUAAAGAGCAUCUUAUCUCGAGUGCAAACUCUCACUAGACAGUGAUUAUGUCUAUCUGAUGUGCAAUUUAGCAUCUAAUAAAUGUGUUUUUAUAAUGAUAAUGAAGUGAAUUUCUAAUUUUUUUAAAAUACUUAAGUAGUUGUAGAUGACAGAUGACUUUUGAAGACUGGCGGGAUUGUGAUUUGGAGAGGGUUAAUGAGUGACUUCCGGCCAGUUAAGGUAGGUAAAAUCAUUUGCUCCCGGAAUCAGAAGAAAACUGCAGCACUACUCCGGGAGACGGCUUAGAGAUCAACUUCCUUUCCAGUCUUUGGACCACGGCGAUACAGGUCCAAGUCCCUCUGGCCGCGCGGCCCAACGACAGCCUGCGUGGCCCGCGGUUUAGAGGGGAUUGAAAAGCCAGGGUGCCGGGAUUGGGCUCUACGCAUUGAGCGGCUUCGAGUUCCGUGUUCAGCUGCGCAAGACGGCGGAAAUACCAAUGAGAUACCAAUGAGACGAGACGCGCUAGAGCGGCCCAUAAGGCUGAGAACCGGAAGUCGUGCGCUCACUUCCGGCGCCUUGUCCGGGCGGUGCAGAUGCGCAUUCCUGGGGCGUCAGGGGUGUGGCGGGCGCCCCGCUGCUGUGGGGACCCGGCUCCUUGCCCUUACCAACCAUCUACCUAGAGGCGGCCUCUGCCAGAGUCCAGCGGGGAAGUGAGUGUCUGUGUAGGUGCUCCUCUCGUCUCUCCCUCCGCAUCAGCGGGAGGAUUAGUAGGAUGUGACUGUCACUGUCUAGGCCGAAGGACUACGCAUUGACCCCACUGGGGACGGGAAAAGGUGCCUCGUGGUACCUCGCCGGCCCAACCCCACUUUGGCAAUGCGCAGCUACGGGCUCGCCCCGCCUGUAUGUAUCCGACUUAUCAAAAGAGAUGAUACGCCUAUCACUUGCCCAGGGUAGGGUAUCUUCUGCAAACUAAAGAAUAUUGCUGGCCAUCCAUUUCUACAGGGCUUGAGUCUUAGCCACUGCAGUUGCUGACCUUCAGCAUGCCCUGAAAAGAACUCAGGGCAGAGAUCAGGAAGGGAGCAUUCUGCUCCAGAAAAAUUGGCAGAACAGUCUUCCAGAUACAUAUUUUAAGGAGAAAAUUUUAUGAACCCCAACUUUUGCAUCUUUCCAUACCUGGAAAAGCACCAAAACCAUUAACUAAGGUAUCUGUUGCUCAGAAUAGCAGUAACCUUCUGCAGAGGUGUGCAUGUACCCCUUUGUCAAAAUCACAAAUACACUGACGUCCUCCCUAAUUUCAGAAGUUUCUCAGAGCUGAAGGCUGUCUGCCCAGCUAAGUGUCUCAGUAAGAUACUGAAUAAACUUGACUCACGAUUUCCACCCCCCCCCCACAUCCAGGGCAUGGGGAAGUUCCCCAGGCUAGGGAUCAAACCCAUGCCACAUCUGUAACUAAAGCCACAGUGGUGACAAUGCCAGGUUCUUAACCCAUUGAGCCACCAGGGAACUCCCAACUUCCAACUAAGUUGUGCAUUUUUUUUAAAAAAAGUUGACACUUUUCUCUAGAACCAGUGCCAGUCUCUUCGCUUGAUUUCUAUGCGCUCCAUACCCAAAUUCUAACAUGCUUCUGGUUACUUAGAGUGUAACCAGAUGAGCUCAUUUGAGUACGUGGUCCUUCCCACUAUUGGCAACCCCACAGCCAGCUUAGCCACUGCCAUGAUUACAAAUACCUCACUUUAAGUCUAGCCCCAAUUCUUCCUCUCUCCUGCACUCUAGAUCCCUAUACUCAUGCCAAUGAGAGAUCUUCCUUGCUUCUCUGAGGCAGCAAAACACAUGCCCCAAACAGAGCGCAUGCUUUUAGUCCUCCUGUUUGCCUCCAGCAUGUGGUGCCACAUCCACACAACUGCUCAUGCUACCAACACACACUACUUCCUCUGCUCCUCAAACACCACAGCCACAGUAAUGCAGGAUCCAAGCUGCAACUGCAACCUACACCACAGCUCACGGCAACGCCGGAUCCUUAACCCACUGAGCGAGGCCAGGGAUUGAACCUGCAACCUCACAGUUCCUCGUUGGAUUUGUUUCCAUUCUGCCACGAUGGGAACUCCUGGUAGAGUUCUCCUGUGGCAAAACGACUGCAGGCCAGCUGUGUGGUCAGCUCACUCCUUGUGCAAAAGCAACUUUUGUCUCUCUCAGAAAAAAGUGUCUGGUUGUACAACUUUGCGACUAUAAUAAAAACUACUGAAGUGCAUACCCCCCCCCCAUUUGGCAGUGCCCCCAGCAUGUGGAAGAAGUUCCUGGGCCAGGGACUGAAUGCAUGUCACAGCAGUGACCUGAGCCCCAGCAAAGACAAUGCCUGAUCCUUAACCCACAAUGAAUUCCUGAACUGAAAACUUUAAAAAGGAGUUCCCCUGUGGCUCAGUGGCUAACAAAUCGACUAGGAACCGUGAAGUUGCGGGUUCGAUCCCUGGCCUCGCUCAGUGGAUUAAGGAUCUGGCGUUGCUGUGGCUGUGGCGUAGGCUGGCGGCUACAGCUCCGAUUGGACUCCUAGCCUGGGAACCUCCAUGUGCCGCAGAAGCGGCCCAAGAAAUGGCAAAAAGACAAAAAUAAUAAUAAUAAUGCUCGAAUGUAGAAAACAAAGUAUCAGAGACAUGAAAAUAAUUUGUGUUACCAACAUGCCUUAUUUUUGUACAGACCUGAUAGGAAAGCUGCUUUUGCCUUUUCUGUGCAGAAUAUCUUGUAAGAUGAGCUAUUAGAACCAUUAGCAUUUGCAAUGACUUAUCUCUGUGUUAGAGUUUUCUCAAUAACUAUACAACCAGAAUAAAUAUCGAAUAAACUGGAUGUUAAUAAAAGAAUGCAGUUCUUCAAAAAGAUUUUUUUAGGGGGUCUUUUUAGGGCUGCACCUGCAGCACACAGAAGUUCCCAGGCUAGGGAUCGAAUCAGAACAGUAGCCAGCCUAUGCCACAGCCAUAGCAAGGCAGGAUGCGAGCCACGUUUGUGACCCAUGGCAACGCUGGAUCCUUAACCCACUGAGCAAGGCCAGGGAUUGAACCUGUGUCCGCAUGGAUACUAGUCAGGUUCGUUAACCACUGAGCCAUGACAGGAACUCCUCCAAAAAGGUUUUUAGAAAUUGAAAAGAUGUGUGCUUUGGUUUAGGUACUGUUUCCUUCCACAGAACCCACCUGCUGCAAAAGUAAAAGAACAUCCCAGGGUUUCCAAGAACCGAGCGUGGGAGAAUUUUUACCAGGGAGUGGAGGACACUCUGGAAUGAAUGGGAAAGCAAGGCGAAAGGAGAGCAGAUGCACGUCUCCGCUGGGAGACAGUGCUUCCUGCUCCACAUCUCAGCCCACCCAGGGCAAACACUGCUUUGGGAUCUAACUCGGCGCCCCGACUGCCUCCGCCUACCCUUUACUGCUGAGAAGCAAACUCCUCCAUCAGUCCUUUCUCCUGGGCUCCCAUCUUUCUGUCCUGAGAGCACAUGUCUGACUGCUGGUGUGAUCUUGGACAUGUGAUUCUCAAAAUCCUGGACCACAGAGGCCUCUUCCCAUCCUCUUCCAGAACAGAGCCUGUUUCCCAGGAAACUGUCCUGCUCAGGGUGGUUAUGUUUCAGAGCUGGACCUACAGGACAUGCUCUCUGGGGGUGUCUGGGUCCCCGACAUGCCUCACGUCACCUUUGCCCUGAAAAAAACACACACCUUGCUGGUGGGCUUCUUCCCAAUAUUCAGAGGAGUUCCAGCGGACAGAUGUUUACAAAGCCUUUGCAUGGGGCCUUCUAGAGGCUGUAACACGCUCCCCCUCAUUCCGGGUCCUCCGCACUGGCUCACCCCCUCCUCCCGGUACCCACAGAAGCAACCAGGGCUCCGGGGCAAAAGCCCUCGAGGAUGGAAGUCUCUCUCCUUAGAACAUAAAAGCACCAGGAUGCCCCCCAUGUUCACUGCACCCCGGGAAGUGGCGAGUUCCCUCCUCUACGAACCUUUCUAACAAGAGCUUGGGUGACAGUUCAUCGGGGUGCGGAAGGAGGAUCUGAGCCACAGGCAGUGUGGCCGAGCUUGGGUUUCUUCCAGCGCUGGGCUGCGAUUUUGAGUAGGUGUGUGUGGAGGAGUGUCGGGUGCUUGAUCACCUUCCCCUUUCGCUGGGGGUCGGCUCUGCCGGGGGCAGCCUUGCUCACCAGGAGGCACUUCCAGGGGCGGCUGGACCAGACCCAUGAGAGCCACCCCAAAGGAGGGCAAGACCUCUUGAUGGGCAAGGCAUUCGUGAGCCGAGGAGCCUUGGCCUGAGUGCUGGGCACUGGCCACGAUGGGGGCUUGUAACUCAGAUCCUCUCAUUUCAACUUUAUAGAGCUGAAGAAGCACGUUUGAAAGGGGAACAAGGAGUUCCUGUUGUGGUGCAGCGGAAACGAAUCCGACUAGGAACCAUUAGGUUGCAGGUUCAAUCCCUGGCCUCACUCCGUGGGUUAAGGAUCCAGCGUUGCCGUGAGCUGUGGUGUAGGUCGCAGACGCGGCUUGGAUCUGGCAUUGCUGUGGCUGUGGCAUAGGCCAGGGGCUACAGCUCCGAUUCAACCUGUAGCCUGGGAACCUCCAUGUGAUGCAGGUACGGCCCUAAAAAAACACAAAAGACAAAAAAAGAAAAGGAAAGAAAAGCAAGGGGUACUAGAGCUGGGAUGAACUCUAGGUCUGUCCAAAGCCAAAGUCAUGCACACGUGGUGCUGGGGUCUGGAUGACUGCGCCCGAAUUCCCGUGCUGAAUCCUCGCUCCCAGUGUGAUGGUUGGGGUCAGAAGGGUGGCAUCUUGAUGCCAGAGCCUGCAGAGCGCCCCCUGCCUUUCCACCAGGUGAGGGCACAGCCCGUCUCCGCACCAGAAUUCGACCUGACCCCGCCGGUGCCUGACCUCAGACGUCCAGCCGCCAGAACUGUUGCUUGUGAGCCAGCAAGUCUGCGGGAUUUUGUUAGAGCGGCCUGGACAGACUAAAAUGCUUGGCUACACUGAACUGUGUCCCGACGCUCCUGAAGUUUUCCCAAAGGUCAAACAAAUGCCUGGAAAUUCUUCUUUGGGACACUGUCUUCAGCCUGAACACCUGGUCCCACACGAACUAUACAUCCCUCUGCAGGGUCACGUCCUGGGCUCUGUUGUCUCCUGUGCCAGGCUCAGAUGCAACGCAGGCCUUCCCUCAACCGAUGAAAACACACUGCUCCUGUCCCCCCGGUGCCGGUGGGGCCCCCCGCCACCCCCCAGUCUCACGCAGACACCCCCUGACGGGACCCAGCUGAGCCCUAACUUGUAACCUUUAUCUUUGGCCGUUCCACCCUCGAGGCUGCUCCUGCCUGGGACGCCCCCACCUGCCACCUGCGUCUCU